rnacentral:rRNA from 1 species
GAUGAACGCUGGCGGCGUGCCUAAUACAUGCAAGUCGAGCGAACAGACGAGGAGCUUGCUCCUCUGACGUUAGCGGCGGACGGGUGGGUAACACGUGGAUAACCUACCUAUAAGACUGGGAUAACUUCGGGAAACCGGAGCUAAUACCGGAUAAUAUAUUGAACCGCAUGGUUCAAUAGUGAAAGACGGUUUUGCUGUCACUUAUAGAUGGAUCCGCGCCGCAUUAGCUAGUUGGUAAGGUAACGGCUUACCAAGGCAACGAUGCGUAGCCGACCUGAGAGGUUGAUCGGCCACACUGGAACUGGGACACGGUCCAGACUCCUACGGGAGGCAGCAGUAGGGAAUCUUCCGCAAUGGGCGAAAGCCUGACGGAGCAACGCCGCGUGAGUGAUGAAGGUCUUCGGAUCGUAAAACUCUGUUAUUAGGGAAGAACAAAUGUGUAAGUAACUAUGCACGUCUUGACGGUACCUAAUCAGAAAGCCACGGCUAACUACGUG